GACAAAUGUCAAUUAUUUCAACAUUACGAAAUUAUGAUUGCUUUUAUUUUGUGAGAUGGAAAAGAAACUGCCUGAAUGGCCUGUAAAGUGUAAACACUGAACGAUAAGAGUUAUACUUACUUUUUGACAAUUUGGAUUUCAAUAGAGAAGAUAUAAUAAAGAAAAAAAAAAAUGAAAUGUAUAAGAGUUUGUUUAUAAUUAUAUAAUAUUAUUGUCUUAUUUUUACUGUGUAAAAUGUGUACAGUUUAGAGCGAAGGACUCGGACCCAGCUC